rnacentral:rRNA from 1 species
GUGAACGCUGGCGGUAGGCCUAACACAUGCAAGUAGAACGGCAGCACAGUAAGAGCUUGCUCUUACGGGUGGCGAGUGGCGGACGGGUGAGGAAUACAUCGGAAUCUACUUUUUCGUGGGGGAUAACGUAGGGAAACUUACGCUAAUACCGCAUACGACCUACGGGUGAAAGCAGGGGAUCUUCGGACCUUGCGCGAUUGAAUGAGCCGAUGUCGGAUUAGCUAGUUGGCGGGGUAAAGGCCCACCAAGGCGACGAUCCGUAGCUGGUCUGAGAGGAUGAUCAGCCACACUGGAACUGAGACACGGUCCAGACUCCUACGGGAGGCAGCAGUGGGGAAUAUUGGACAAUGGGCGCAAGCCUGAUCCAGCCAUACCGCGUGGGUGAAGAAGGCCUUCGGGUUGUAAAGCCCUUUUGUUGGGAAAGAAAAGCAGCAGGUUAAUACCCCGCUGUUCUGACGGUACCCAAAGAAUAAGCACCGGCUAACUUCGUG